AGGUUUUUAGGCCUACUUAUGUGC
rnacentral:siRNA from 1 species